UGAGAUCUGGCUCAUUCCCUUGCUGUGUCUGCUGAGGAUGGGAGUGUUGCUGGCCCUGCUGUGUCAACUCCACUCAGAGUGGAUGCCAUCUUAUCCUGUUGUCUCAGCAAAUUAAGCUUUGGGAAGCCUCAGACAGGGAGUCCUUAAUGCGGGUAUGGAUGUGUUUGAACCAAAUCCCUUGGAGGAACAUCCUACAGCCUCUUCCUUGGUGCUCAUGUUCCCAUGGACACUUCUACCAAGACACAGUGUAUCGCCAUGCUUGGAAGAAAUGAAAUACCAACACUUACAGUCUAUCAAAACCCAUAAAUCUUAACGUAGGCUGUUAAAAUGUAAAUCUGACAGUUUACUGUGAAUUGCAUGCCAAGCAGAAUGUCUCCAGAGGGGUAAAAGACUCUGAAAACCUUGUUCUGAAAGAUGGAUUUACACCUGAGCACACUAACGUAAUAUGAAAGCCUGAAAACAUCUGCCAUCAAGUAAGAUCCAGGAGAUCUGUGUGAAAUUCUGACUACAACCUGUUCUGAACAUGCAGGAGCACAUUGAAAACAUGUGGAGAUGUUGAAGAAACUUGAAGCAGAGGGGCAGUGAGCAGUGGAAAAAGGAUUUCCAUACUUUGAUUUAUUUAAUUUUUUUUAAAUGUCUGAGAAUUGAAAUCUUGAAUGCCUUUGUAAACUCAACAAUAUUUAUGGAAUGUGUGAAUUCAAUUAUUCAAGUUCCUGAACUUAAAAAAUAUUUGGUUUUAAAUUUUGAUCGUGUUAUGGGUAAAAGCUUAUCCUGGCAUGAAAUGACAUUUGGGGGAAGAAGAGUGUGAAGGAAAUUACAUUUUGGUGUUAUAUUUUAAACAUGGUAGUAUGAAGUAUUUUGACAAUUCCUAGCUUUUAUUAGUUUAGGAAUUCAGUUCUAAUGAAAAACUUAAUAAUGGACCAUGACCAGCUCUGCAGAGAAAACACAAAGGCUGUAAAAGUUACAGAAAUAUUGUUAAUGGGUCAAAUUAGAAAAUGAAUACUUUGUAGGGAACAGGAAUAGUAUGCAUACCUGUUCAUUGAAUAGAGAUAACAACUCAGUCUCUCUGAAACAGAUAAACUUACUGAGGCUGGACUGACUUUAAGUGUGGAGGAUGCAGGUUAUUGCAGGCUAUAGAGAGGAAAUACAUGUUUUUUGAUGCUAGAUGAAAUACAUGGUGGGCAAAUCCAAAGCAAUGCAAAUUGGAAGAAAAAGCUUUAAAAUGCUUAUACAUAAGGGAGUGUUCAAAAUUGUUGCAAACCUUAAGAAAAAGGUGUCAUAUUGUUGUGGACCACUUAAUUAUGUCUGCUGAAUAAGCAGAAGUAAAAGAACAAUAAAAAAAGCUAUGAAAUGAGGGAGCAGGCUGCAUUAAGCAACUGUAGAAAGUUGCUAAAAUGAGGAAGUAAAUGAACAAUGCUAUAUGCUUAUUUCUCUAACUCAUCUAUGACGGCAACAGAAACAUUUAAAUGAAAAAGAAAACACAAUUAAAUUGAAUGAAAAUUAAUAUAGCUUUUUGUCCAAGAAACAGUUCUCCAAUUUUCCUCACAUAAUGCUCACUUAUUAUAUAGAUUAGAGUUGAUUUCUUCAUAGUACUCCAUGCUGGCUAUGAGCUGAGACAUGAUAUUGGGCUGGAAAAAAUCUUGAUUUCUUUGAGAAUGGUAAAUUAGAUACUUCCAUUGAUGUAUUUAGACUUGCAGGGAAAACGUGCUUGACAGGGAUUUCAUUCUACGGGCUAGUUUGGGACUGAGAGAUACACAAUUCCUUUUUUACUAUCCAGCAUCUCAUUUGUACCAUUAAUGAGACCUCCAGGAUUUUAAGUGUAAUGAAGGUUUCUAAAGAAAGAUGUUUGGCAUAUUUAUAGAAGGUGUUAAUCUUCUACUUGAUCUUUUCGUCCCAGAUUCCGUUUGUCUUAAAUAUAUA